rnacentral:lncRNA from 1 species
CUAAAAUCUUAUAGUUGUCAUAUUUUAAAAACAUCUACCACUUUAGAGUUCAAUGCUUCUUUGAUUAUGUGUCAUACAACAGAAAACAACCAGAAAUUAACUAGUCUAUUUUGCUAUAAUAAAGAGGCUUUCCAAUCCAAAAGUAGCAACAUAUUAUUAAACAGGAUGUGGGUCAAGGCAAGAUCAUGAUCAUACCAAUGGAGCCUUUAGAUCAGAGAUUUCCAAGCUUGGUUCUCCAAGUCUCAGACGUUAUAAAGAAUACAGUAGUGGGGUGGCUGGAGAAUAGUUUGAAUAUGUCUAAAAGUUUAAGGAGAAAUGUACAUUUGCUUACACAAAAGCACUAAGAGAUAAGUGUUUUUUUCUAUUUUGGCUUUGCUAAUACUAACGGUACUGUUUAGAAUUUCUGAUGGACAUUUAUAUGUUAGUAAUAAAUCAAGCAUUUUUGAAACAAUGCUUAGUUCAAGGUAGAGAAAAAUCAUUCAAUUACCAAAAAAGCCUACAAUGACAAAGUAACAGAAAAUUUGCAGCUAAUGAAAAUAAAUAAUUAGGAGUGUUAACUUUGGAAGAAUUCUAACAUAAAUCCUCACAGAUUUUGUUCAGCCUUUAAAUAUAGUUCUUUGUGAAGACUUGGUUCAGAUAUUCUCCUUGGGCUUUUGCAACAGGAGUGAUGGUUUAUUUAGCUACAUGGUGCCGGAGAUGUGACCACUGGUACUCAAGGAAAUAGAUGUGAAAAAAAAACUUACAAAUUUACUUGGAAUAAAAAUAAAAGAUUCAUCAGGCUCUGAUAACCAUGUUCAUUAUGAGUUUGAAGUGCAAAUGAUUUAAGAUAUGACACAGGUUAUCCUUUAAAGAGAAGUAUCAGUAAAAUAAAUA